rnacentral:misc_RNA from 1 species
AGAGUAUCAAGAAUAAAAUGUUAAGUAAAAAUAGCAGAGAAGAUAAAAGGAAAGAGGAAGUCAUCGACAGAUGGCAGACGGUCGCAAUUAUCUAUUAACACAUACGGUAUAUUACUCGACAAAUGUGAUUGGCUGAUAGUUCAGGUUCUAACUAAAAGUACCAGAUGCUCUCGAUUAUACGUUCACAGCAUAUCGAAGGCAAGGAACACAAAGAGUAAAUUAACUCAGAACGGAUGUGAG